GCGGUGUCCGGUGCGCCCCCGGCGGCCCAUGAAAAUCCGGAGGACCGAGUACCGUUCACGCCCGGUCGUACUCAUAACCGCAUCAUGGCUCCAAGGUGAACAGCCUCUGGCCAAUGGAACAAUGUAGGCAAGGGAAGUCGGCAAAACGGAUCCGUAACUUCGGGAAAAGGAUUGGCUCUGAGGACUGGGCUCGGGGGUCCCGGCCCCGAACCCG
rnacentral:ncRNA from 1 species